rnacentral:tRNA from 1 species
GCCGGGGUAGCUCAGUGGUAGAGCAGCUGAUUCGUAAUCAGCAGGUCGUGGGUUCGACUCCCACCCUCGGCU